AGGAGUCUUCAGGGCAGGGUGAAAUUCCCGACCGGCGGUAAAUUCUGGCUGUUGCCAAAUUUUUGCUUUUAUAUAGUGCUUUUGAUUCCUGCAAACAUCGGUUAACUUUGCGAAUCAUUGCCUCAUCUAAAAACAAAAUUUUUGUCAAUUUUAUGCAAGAGAAGUCCGCGAGCGCAAGCUGAUGUGGUGAAAUUCCACAACCGACAGUAUAGUCUGGAUGGGAGAAGACGAAA
rnacentral:ncRNA from 2 species